GAAUAAAGUGCGAGAGUAGGUUGCAUUAAGCCUUAUAACCCUGAUCUCGAAGAGAUUAUAGACUUGACACCAGUGUAGGUGUUAGUCGAUGGGUUAUACAAGAGCACACGCUUUCCGCACUAAAAUAAACCAACGAAUUUGAGAAUAGGACAUGUCUUAGAAGUUCAUUAGACUACUAGGUGUUUCAUGUAUACUAUCUCGCAUAGAAAUAGUAGAACCACCUCUCGAGAUAGCCCAACACUCGUCUAGUGAAACCCUAUCUCCCCGACACUGAGGGUUUCCUUUAAAAACAUCUCCAGAAUCAGAAGUGCAGGUUCAUUUGCACAAGAUUGAGAUAGACACUCUGCAACAAACAGAUACCCAUAGACACACAAUCCAUCCGAUGAUCUAGAAAAUCUCGGAGACCCAAUCAACAUGAACAUGAAUCCAAGGACAACCCGAGCUUUCUAUGAAACAACCUGAAGCACUACACUUCCAGUAUGAGAGAGAACGUUGGAACUUCGGAAUGGCGAUCACGCCAGUGAUGAUCUUGCCAUAGAAGUACACUAUGUUCUAAGUACUGAAAAGCUCUACCCUUCUGAGAGCUUAGAACCAUCCAAUAUUCUUUACGGAGAUUGGUCCAACCAUCAUCAGACCACUACUACUUUCAGAAAUUCCACAAGUUUUACCACAGAUCAAUCCACUUCUUAGACAUUGAUAAGUGUUUUCCCGACGUCACUCUUUGUAUCCCACUCAACUUUAUAAAAACCAUUGGGAACCCCAACUUCGUAGAUGAACCUCUAGUAAUUGCUAUCGGCACGAGACAGAAUCCGCAUCCCGUAAGUGAAGUUUUCUUAGAACGCCAAGCAAAGGCCAGAGUUCACUUGGGAGUGCAAGGACCAGCCUAAUAGGAUGUACCCUCAUCUUAUUAAUUAAUCAUUCAUACCUACUUCUUUGCCUAAACCAGAAUUUCGCGGCGAAAUUCCAUCUAAAGGGGGAAUGAUAUGACAACCCAAAAAUUUCCGUUAGUUUUUACAUCGAAAUUAACGUCGAAAUUAAUUACGUCAAAAAUUAGCCAAAUUUAUCCCGAAAAUAUUUUUGACCGGAUUUAAACCCGUUGGAAUAUUUUAAUUAAUAUUCGUCAAGUGAAAAUAAAAACACGUAAAUUAUCUUUCCAUUUAUUUGGAAAAAGUUUAUUUUUUUUUACGGCCAUUUAACCGGGUAAAAAUUUUAAACCUCGUUAACCAUAAGUAUCGGUUACUCGUAUACCGUGUACAACACCCAAGCCCUAUAUAAGGGUGGGUGGACACUCCUUAGAAGCCUUUUCCCACCUUAGACUCUCUAUCUCUCUACUUUCUAUCUCUACAAACGCGUUUUGGUCAAAAAUCACCCCUCCGAGCCUCAAAUCGGUAAGUAAACCUUCCUAGCUUGUUAUCUAACUUAUCUAGCUUGCAAAUUCGUGACUUAAUCAUGCAAAAACCCGAAGAACAUGAUUUUACGGUCUUCGGAGCCUCCCGAAACCAUAAACCUCUUUGAUGAGGGUUUUAAUGCUCAAAAAACCUUCCAAAACAAUUCUCAUGCUUAGCAAUAGCUUAGAGGCUUACCCAAAAGAACUUAGAACACCAAAAUCGGACCAAAUUGCGAGUAAACAUGAGUUCAUGGUCUAAGGAUGCUCUUAGACCGUAAAACCAUGUUCAUGGACCAUAAACACCUUUUAAGGUGUUAAACUACCCCUAAAACACCUCCAAAAGCUUCCAUGAGUGCUUAGAGCCUUAUAAUCCUUCGUUUGAUGCACCAAAACAUAGGGUUCAUGGACAAAAUGAGUUUAGUACCGUAAACUCAUGUGUUUAAGGUACAAAACUCCCCAAGAGCAUUUCUUAGACCUUAAACACCUUUCCAAGGUGUUUAAGUGCCCUAAACACCUUCCUAUGCUCCUAAAAGUGACUAGAACCUUACAUGCAUGAGGUAGAACCACCAAACAACAAAAGAAAUGGAACAACAUGAGUUUACUACCGUAAACUCAUGUGUUUACGGUCAUAAACUCCUGAAGGAGUAUUCAUAGGCCGUAAACUCCUUUAAUGGUCCAUUUUGAAGCAUUAAACACUUCAUAAGCCCUAGAAUUGAACCUAGCCUAAUUCCACGAGUGUUAUAAGACCUUAAUGCAUCAAAGAACACAUCAUCCAUGAGUUUACGGCUGUAAACUCAUGGAAAUAAGGUCUUAGGGCCGUAAACUCUAUAAAGAGUUCACUCUUGAAGAGUAAACUCCCUAUCUAGGCCAUACACACCAGGUCGUGAUUUUCUUAAAUGUAAUGGUUUUCCAAAAUUUUCAUCAAAGUUUCCUUCCAUGUGUUUAUACUCCUACUUCGUUAGAUACUACUGCUUCAUUAUACUUUUACUUAGUUAAUGCUCCUACUUAGUUAAAUGCUACUACUUUGUUAACGCUUCUACUUAGUGAUACACUUCGACUUGUUAACGCUUCUACUUAGUGGUACGCUUCUACUUGUUAACGCUUCUACUUAGUGAUACACUUCUACUUGUUAACGCUUCUACUUAGUGAUACACUUCUACUUGUUAAAGCUUCUACUUAGUGAUACGCUUCUACUUGUUAACGCUUUUACUUCGUGAUACGCUUCUACUUCAUGAUACGCUUCUAUUUGUUAACGCUUCUACUUCGUGAAACACUUCUACUUCGAUAAACACUUCAACUUCGUUAAAUGCUUCUACUUAGUUAAAUGUACGCUUGUACUUGUAUAGUUAUAUAAAUAAUGUUUAAAUGACUUAGGAAGGCUAGUUCGCCCUAUUUCCUUUUCCUCGUUGGGAUGUUGUCUGGUGGGAUCGGAUAUCCGUCCGAAGGUCGUUUGAUCAUUAAUUAUAUAUUAUGUAUACAGGUAUAGACAUAUAGGUUUACGUCGGUCAGUUUAUUUGUGAGUCUCUAUCAUUAGUCCAAUAUUUACAUCAGAACUCACUACACAAGAUGCAUCUUCAGGACACGACCUUCUUCGUUGUCUAGUUGGUAACCAGGGUCUCCUGUAAGGAGAGCGGGCAUUAUGUGUAUAGAUCUAUACGGGAUUGACACCCCCACACCCUGACUGCUAGCUACAGUCCAGGACCUACCAAGCUAAAGGGUGACAAAUGUCACAUUCUUUCCGACGCUUGCAUGGCGUCAAGUUCUCUAAUGUCUAUCAGUACUGUUACGGGUAUCUCAGGGUUACCUUAUAAUUGAUGGCCUUAAGGUAACGGGAAUUAACACUUAAUUCACUGUUUUAGACCUUGCUAGACGUAUCAUUCAUUUGAUACUGUCUGGGGUCUGUAUUCACUGUUUUAGACCUUUGUAGACGUAUCAUUCAUUUGAUAUUGUCCGUGGUCUGUAUUCACUGUUUUUAGACCUUGCUAGACGUAUCAUUCAUUUGAUACUGUCUGGGGUCUGUGUCUCCUUUUGUUAGACUGAGCCAGGCGUGUCGUUCACUCGAUGCUCUCCUGGAGUCUAUGAUUUCUUUGCCUUAGUCAGCAGUAUCUUCUGCUGAGGCAUAUGUUAUUUUCCCUAAUGAUUUUACUUGUGAUAUCCUUCUACUUCCUUUAAAAUCAACUACUGUAUUAUGGUAAUCAUAGUAUUCCAGGGAAAAUUACUCUUUAAAAACAUAACACUGUCGGGUCUUGGUAGAAGACUACUUUUAUUUAGAAAAUAUAGGAUUUUCUGGAAAGAACUCUAAUACACUGUUGACUCUGAACUACUACUUUUUAUAAAGUUAAUUGAAUAAAAUGACACUAAAUACUUAUGAACUCACCAGCAUUUAUAAAAAUGCUGAUACUCGCUUUCAAGUAACUUGUAUUCUCAGGUCAGGAAUAGACAGGUACUGUCAUACCCCAAAACCAAGAACGGCGGAAACGUUCCGGGGUGGAGGACGUCAUGUGAAGUAUCAUAACAGUGUAAAGUAGUAAACUAGCAACAAAAUCAUCCAUUGCAUUAAAAGUAAUGUUUUAAUACAUGUGUGUUCUUUCAUAAUGUACAACAAUAAAAUGAAUAAUCAAAAUAAGAUGAGUCUUGUCAAUGCUCCAUCUUCUCAAAAACGUGGCAAACGCACCUGUCUAACUGAUGACCUGAGAAUAGAAGUUAUUUUGAAAGUGAGUAUCAGCUUUAAAGCUGGUGAAUUCAUAAGUAUUUGGGUGUUAUUGUCCUGUUUUAGAAUGCUGUUAAGAAUGUCGUAUAAAUCUUUAAAUAGAACAGUUGAUAUAAGUAUGAAAUGUGGUCUUCUACCAAGACCGGAAUGUUUUGUAAGUAAAAUGAUGGUUUUUCCUUUCUAUUGACUAGUACUAAAAGUACAUAGUCUAACUCUUUGUUUAUGUGAAUGUAUCACAAAAUAAAGCAAAAUAGGAAAAUGAUAUGAUAGUCUUCUACCAAGACCUAAAUGUUCUAUAAGUAAAAUGAUAGUUUUUCCUUUCUAUUGACUAGUACUAAAAGUACUUAGUCUAACUCAUCGUUUAUGUGAAUGUAUCACAAAAUAAAGUAAACAGGUAAAAUGAUAUGAUAGUCUUCUACCAAGACCUAAAUGUUCUGUAAGUAAAAUGAUAGUUUUUCCUUUCUAUUGACUAGUACUAAAAGUACCUAGCCUAAAUCAUCGUUUACGAGAAUGUAUCACAAAAUAAAGUAAACAGGUAAAAUGAUAUGAUAGUCUUCUACCAAGACCUAAAUGUUCUGUAAGUAAAAUGAUAGUUUUUCCUUUCUAUUGACUACUACUAAAAGUACUUAGUCUAACUCAUCGUUUAUGUGAAUGUAUCACAAAAUAAAGUAAAAUGGGAAAAUAUAACCAUGUAAGUGUUAUCCCUGGUAACCUGGACUAAGACGCCAUCACAAUAAGCGGCAUGUAUAAGCUAAUGAGCAUCCGAAGAUUGUCCAAUUGUGCUCUGUAGCAGCAGCAGGUUGGAGGAAGGGUUAGUCCCGUGGCUGACUCCUAAUAUAAGUGUUAACCUAAUAAUCAUCCGAAGAUUUUCAUCUCAUCCUCUGUUGCAACAGCAGGAUGGAAGGAUGGUUAGUCCUGUCACUAAUUCCUAAUAUAAGUAACAACCUUAGACAUCACUAGAUGUUCAUCACCCAGUGGUGCUAACAGCUGGUUUCCGGAAUGGUUAGUCCCGUCUAGAGAACACGUCGAAAGGGAUAGGCAAGAAAAUUUACACAGAAGGUACGAAUAAAUCUUCCUCGUAACUCUUGGUACAAGUAUCCAGGUAAGUGAAUACAGGAUAAUGUAUCUAAGUAACAGUACUCAUGUAUGGCAUUCAUGUAAGCGUAUUUAGAUAAAUGUAGUUAUGUAAACGUACUCAUGUGUCAUGUAAUCCUAGAUUAAUUUACUCAUGUAUUAUGUAAGCAUAUAUAAGUGUACUGGUAUAGACUCAUGAAUGAACUGACUCCUGUGUGUUUCCUUGUAAAUAGGAAUAAUGUUUUGUUUCUUCUAACUAUACCUAUGAUAAUUAACUGGAAAUUAAUUGGUUGUUCAAGUAGAUUUAUGCACCCUCAUUACACCAGGGUGUGGGAAACUGAUCGAAGGAUGAAAACUAUAACAUCAAUACAUAUAUAAGAGCAUAUGUGUAUAAGUGUAGUUUUGCUCAAGAAGGUAAAAAUAAUGGUUUUGUAAGAUAUCUAGGUGUUUUGAACAAUAAUUAAGAGUGAGUUGAUGUCAUUUUAAUAAACAUUUCAAAACUAAUACUUUUGUUAUCAAGGUAUUUUAAGAUAGAAAACCAUUUCGUGUGUCACCUUUUGAAUUAUGUGAAAUCUACUUAGUGAAAACACAGUUAUAAAAUACAUAAAAUUGAUUUAAUAACAUACUAUUUUCUACUUGUAUUCCCCCCCCCCCCCCCCCCCUAAAACNAGCAUUUAAAAUCAUUUAAAACGUUGAUUAAGGGGUAUGAACUCACCUGUAGAUGGUGGUAUGGAUGAACUGGACGGCGUAGGAUUGUUAGGUGUCAAGUGAGGACUUAUACACACACUACGAUCCUAGUGAACAUAUAAUCACACAUAUAUGCACUCAAUUAGUACUAAAUUACUAAUUGAUAAUGUUAAGACAUCCUAUAACAUAAUAAACACUUUAUAUAAGUGUUUUAAGCCCUAAGGAUUGCACCUAAGCUAUUGUGGGACAAGGUACUUGGGUUUAGGGUUCCAAAGUACCCUAUACUUGAGUCUACUCUCCAUAUAGCCGUUGUAAAAUAUUGAGUUUAUGGUCGUGAACUUCCAAUCAUGGAGAUAUUUUGUGUUUUGAAGUCCCAGAUGAUCCCUAGAAUUAUUCCAACUUGGUGGUUUAUAUCUUGGAAGGGUUUAAGGCAUAGAAACACCCCUUUGAGUAGUUUACGGCCUUAAGGCCAUUUCCUUUAGAGUUUGUGGCCGUAAAUUCUUAAGGAUGGGUGUUUUUGAUGCUUUCAAGUCUCAUACACAUGUAGUAUAGGUCUUAAACUUUUAUCCCAAGCAUAUGAAGGCCUUAGGCACACUUUGGUGCCCUUCUUUGAUGUUUACGGCCGAAGAUCUUUAUUAGGGCCGUAAUCAUCCAAAAUGAUGUGUUUUUGAUGUGUUUUGGUCCUUGAUUUAAGUAGAAACAAUUUUUAGUAAAUGUCUAAGGCUUUAGGUGCCUUAAAGCACCCUUUUGUCCACGAUUUUGGAGUUCACGGUCCAAGAUCUUCUUGGGCAGUGAACACCUAAACAUGGGUGAAUCUUUGUUGUUUUGUUGUCCCUAAUACACUUCUAUACAAGUCCAAGGUAGUAUCAUAUCACAAGGGAAGGUCUAGGCAUUGUUUCGGGAGUUUACCGCCCAAGAACACCUUGGGGAGUAAACUCCUAAAUCAAGUUAUUUAGCUAUCUAAAUCAUGUUGUAAACACAUUAAAAAGCUUUAUAACACUACUAGAGAGAGUUACUCACGUUUUGGUAUAAAACCUGAAGAUCCGUGAGUGAGAAAAUGGCUUUUCUCUAGUUGGAAAUGAGAAUAAUGAAUGAAUUUGGUUCAGAAUUCUAUUUAUAGUCCUGAGAUAUUUUUGGCAGAAAAUAUUUUUAUUCCUGAAAUGAUUUCCAAUAUAAUAGAGUGUUGGAAUAACAGUGUUGCACAAAACCCUAGUGCAUCCACUCUCUUGAUAUUUCCUGAAGUGUAAACCCUAAAGUAGUCAAACUUAUACUAAAAAGUAUGAAAAUCAACUGUGACUGUUAUAACUUCUAUUGAAGUGAUAUAGUUUGUUCAGAAUGGAAAUUUUGGGUUGUCACAUCAUCCCCCUGUUAAAGGGAAUUUCGUCCCGAAAUUAGAAUUUAGGCAAGGAAAUAGGUACGAAUGAUCGAGUUGUUAUGUGAACUUCCUAAUCGAUUGGUUCUCGCACACCUAAGUAAAAUCGGGUUCUCGGUUGGUAUCCCAACGAACCUUCACUAACGGGCGAUGGCUCUGCUUCGUCCGCUUGACCACUUGGUUGAGCGUCACAACGGUUCUAAUACGAAGGCGAGGAUCUAAUUAAUCUCGAUUUCUUCAUGUGGGCUUACGAGAGUCCUAACGGAAAGGUAUUGUUUAAAAAUUGAGACGCGAAGGGUAACAUGUACGUUACUGAGUUCCCAGAGUAGAUCUAGUCGGUGAGAUGCAAGACCGAUUCUUGUAGGAAUUUCGGAGGUCCUAACUAUAUCGGAUUUAGCUUUCCACGCCUUACGAAGCGUAUUUAAGCCAUUCCCAAAGUGAGGUUUCUUAAAGAAUUUGGUCUCUCACUUGGUAUUCCAAAGGUUCUUUCUAUUGCUUAACUUCCCAGUCAAGGGCCACCCCUCGCUGGGUCAAAGUCAAAAGGGGUUCUGUAAGUUGCGAUGAGUUCUGGUUGGACUAUGAUAGUAGGUCUGUAAGACCUAGUAUUUGGAGAAUUUUCCCGUCGUUGACUACGGUGCCGACAAAUUCCCAACGGUUUUGGAUAACUUUUCAGAGUACUCAAGAAUUUCCACAUCACUAAUAGUGUGUCUCAGGAAAUCUGACUCUUAAUUCCAAAACUCAUGUUCAGAUAACUUUACGAAAAGUAUCUCCGAGGUUAAUGUUUCGAUGGGUUCUUUCUUACUACGAGGGUAGAUAAGUACGCCCUAUUUCCAUUUCCUCGUUGGGAUAUGGUCUGGUGGGAUCAGAUAUCCGUCCGAAGGUCGUUUGAUCAUUAAAUAUAUAUUAUGUAUACAGGUAUAGACAUAUAGGUUUACGUCAGUCAGUUUAUUUGAGAGUCUCUAUCAUUAGUCCAGUAUUUACAUCAGAACUCACUACACGAGAUGCAUCUUCAGGACACGGCCUUCUCCAUUGUCUAGUUGGUAACCAGAGUCUCCUGUAAGGAGAGCGGUCAUUGUGUGUAUAGAUCUAUACGAGAUUGACACCCCCACACCCUGACAACUAGCUACCGUCCACGGCCUACCAAGCCAAGGGGUGACAAAUGUCACAUUCUUUCCGACGCUUGCAGGGCGUCAAGUUCUCUAGUGUCUAUCAGUAUGGCUACGAGUAUCUCGGGGUUACCUUAUAAUUCAUGGCCUUAAGGUAACGGUAAUUAACACUGUAUUCACUGUUUUAGACCUUUCUAGACGUAUCAUUCAUUUGAUACUGUCUGGGGUCUGUAUUCACUGUUUUAGACCUUGCUUGACGUAUCAUUCAUUUGAUAUUGUAUGGGUUCUGUAUUCACUGUUUUUAGACCUUGCUAGACGUAUCAUUCAUUUGAUACUAUCUGGGGUCUGUGUCUCCUUUUGUUGGACUGAGCCAGGCGUGUCGUUCACUCGAUACUCUCCUGGAGUCUAUGAUUUCUUUGACUUAGUCAACAGUAUCUUCUACUGAGGCAUAUGUUAUUUUCCCUAAUGAUUUUACUUGUGAUAUCCUUCUACUUCCUUUAAAAUCAACUAGCGUAUUAUGGUGAUGAUAGUAUUUCAGGGAAAAUUACUCUUUAAAAACAUAACAUUGUCGGGUCUUGGUAGAAGACUGCUUUUAUUUAGAAAAUAUAGGAUUUUCUGGAAAGAACUCUAAUACACUGUUGACUCUAAACUACUACUUUUUAUAAAGUUAUUUGAAUAAAAUGACACUAAAUACUUAUGAACUCACCACCAUUUAUGAAAAUGCUGAUACUCGCUUUCAAAUAACUUGUAUUCUCAGGUCAGCAAUAGACAUGUACAUUCCAGGAGCUUUUGGUGAAGACAGUUUAGUACCAAGUUGCACCUAUAUUAUUACUUGUAUUACUUUGUUGUUUCUAUGUAAUGUAAACUAUGUAAAACUAUUACUAUUAAUGCAAUGGUUGUUGUACUUUGAUUACUAUACUGUAUUUGUUGUGAUACUUGACAUGAUGUCAUCCAUCCCAGAACGUUUCCACCGUUCCGGUUUUGGGGUGUGACAUAUUGGUAUCAGAGCAUUGUUUAUAGUGAGCUAAGUAUAUCAAUUCAUAAAAGAUAUACAGACUAUAAAUACUUAGGGAUAAAACACUCUGACCAAGAAUUAUACUUUAAAAUUUAACCAUAUUAUACCAAAGUAUAAGAACAUCCAGAAUCUAAACACUCGAACACAAGUAUCACAAGAAGAACAAGAAUAAAAGUCUUCGGAUGUUGAGCAUUACCGUCAAACCUGGGCAGUUAUGUAAUCGUAAGCUGGAAUAAAUGUAACCUGAUCAACUACAUUUAUUGGAGAUGCGAUGAACGUGUGCUUGGCAGUGAUAGUGGUGUUGCAACGAGUCUGAAACUUACCAACUAGGAAUGGUAGAGCCAAACAUAAAGUUUAAAAUACUAUGGGAGUAUCUUGGAAUACUAAAAGACUCACAUUAAUCCCAGAAUCAUAUUCAGAAAUUAAGAAACAAAGAAGAAAUUAAAAUACCAUAAGGGUAUUUUAGGAUCCAUAGAUAACCUUGUGUGAAGAACUAAAAAGAUCCUUAUUGAUAUACCUAGAAUUACAUAGGGUAUACUCCCAAGGUAAUAUAUAAUAAGGAUCCCAUAGGCUAAGAAUGUGUGGUUUCGCUCUACUUCCUUUUCCUCGUUGGGAUGUGGAUAUAGAGUAGUAUCACAUAUUCAAAGGUCUGUCGGAUCUAAGUUAUAUAUGAUUUGUAGACCCUAUGUAAUCGUAGAAGGACUCGAUAUAGAUCACUCAGUGAAAUGUUAAUAAUCUCUUAGGAUUCUUUAGACAUUUCCAUUCUCGCAUGAACCCUGUAGAAAACCCUAUCCACUUCAGUACUCGGAAGAAGAGUUGAUUCAGACCUAGAAGAGGUUCAUUGAGAAGAUUUCCAAUUCGGAAAUAAAUGAACUAAGUCGAGACUAUUGAAAUCACCAAGUGCCUAUAUCUUUUUAGCGACAUCGGUGAGAAAUUCGCCUAAACUUCCGAGAUUUCCAGUCAUCCAUCCUGAAGUGAUGACACCCUGAGUCAGAAUUCGAAGUAAGACGGAGUAGAAAUUCAAUAUGUCUAUAGGAGAAGAAAACCCUAGGUAACUACCCAAAGGGAACCAACGCCGGUCCCAGUCAAAGAUACGAGGUAGACAGAGGGAGCCAAUACAUGGAACCCGAGAAGUGUCUUUUCCUCGUGUUCGUCACACUAAUGCACCCAUAAAAUAAUACAAUUUAGUUAGUUAUUGAUUACACUACUCACACUAUGUGUUAGGAAAAUAGCCUUUUCCCGUUGCAAGUAAUACGAUUACAGCGGAUCCCCACACCUCUAUUGAGGAUGUUUAGCCAUAAGUCUUCAUGAGCAUUUCUUCCCACGGUCUUCGUUCCGAACAGUUCUCAAUUCUUUCCAAGCCGGAGAGUGAAACCUUUCCCAGUAUAAAGGUAACUUAGUAGGAACGACUCCCAUCUUUUGGCUUUUCCGACACUCAUACUCUUACCUUGAAUACCCGAACUACAUCAUAGGGUUGUAGGUUGACACUCAGACAACCAGUAUCCGAAGUGCGGGAAAAAUUUAUGCCUAAUAUAGUAAGGAUUGAUAUGUCCAGGGUUAACCAUCGUCUCUCAUCAGCUUGUGUACCUUUCCAUGUAGGAAAAACUAUGCCUCCGAAGAAGCGUAACCCAUCCACUGGCAAGAAACCGACUCUCCUAUUCGAUGAAGCUACGUUCCAAGUUGUAGUCUCGGCAGCUGUAGCAGCUAUCAUGGCUCAACUGAAUGCUAACAAUGUCAAUGUUAGCAAGAGCCCUAUCGGGAAUUCCGAUCCUAGUAAUAGACAGCAGCAGCCAACCUCUGUAUACCUAGCUACCCAUGAACCUCAACUAAAUCUACCGAAGAGAAAAGUCAAGAUCGAGGAGGGAAGUACCUCGGCUCAAGGACCUUCCGAAGGGCAACGAGCUGAGGCAGUCAAUAUCCCUGCCAACCCUUCCAUCCCGAAUUCAAGGAGACCAUACCUAGGAAGCCUUCCCCACUGCAGCAAGUGUAGUUACCACCAUCAUGGUAUAUGCCAGGAACUCUUCUGUGUUAGGUGCAACAGGAAGGGGCACACCUCUCGUACCUGCAGAGCCCCAGUUGAGUUCAUUACAUCGACCACCAAUGUGGCGGCCAGUCCAGUUUGCCGUCUAUGUGGUGAGAUUGGAUACUUCAAAAGGGACUGCCCAACUGAAGGAAACGAUAAGAACACAGGAGGAGUCUGACUCUACUGCUUAGGGAGAAGCAUCAAGGAAACAGGUAGAUUUUGGUACGUCUCUCAAUCUUAGAUAACUUACCGAAAACAUUAAAAGGCUAAUUCAAAAUGUAAUUAUUUCCCCAUUAAGGGGAAAGGCGUAGCACUGUUAUAAAAUUUAAAAUUUCAUGAGGUAAAACUAUAAUGGAUAGAUAUAUACAUUACGGCCAUGUAUAAUUGAGAUGGAUAGACCUAGAGUGAGUGAAUACCGCCUCAUUUCCUGUUCCUUGUUUGGUUGUGGAUUUAGGGCGGAGUCACUCAGUCAACAUUCCUUCCCACCUUAAUUAUACAUGACUAGUAUAUAUUAGGCAAUUAUUGAAAUGCCUCGUGAGAAUCCAUUCAUGAAAAGGUACUCUACUCAGAAACAUUCAGGACCCUCUAUAGUUCCGUGUCGACUCUAUCGGUCCAAGUAUCCGCAACAGUGAUACACGGGACGAAACCCGAGAUGCCUGGAACUGGUGUGCCCGUUCGGCACAGGACUCUAUCGACCCUCAUUCUAUAUCAAGUCGAAGUAUGCCAACUUCGACGCCUCUAUUAAUCAUGGUUCGACUUCGUUGAACCAUGUGUAAAUCCUUAGUGCUGUGUAAAAAGAACUUUCUCCAUAGUCAUAGUCAUUUCGGCAAAGAAAGACCCUUCGCACCUCGCAAAUCAGGUUCGUGAACCCAGAGUAUAGAACGCAUGGGACUAACCACUAUAACUGUGUAUAUGCAUGAAGGUGGUAUAUAAUUGAGAUAAAAAAGAUUUAAGAUGUGUCUUUCCUCCCUACUCCCUGUUCCUCGUUGGGUUGUGGGUAUGGGGUGGAGUCGCACAACUGAACAUCCUGCCGACCUCAAUUAUAUACGGCUUGCAUACGCCAUGUAAUAGUGGUUAAGCCGAGUAUCAGCUCUACCACGAAUCUCAUAGUAAAACCCUUCAUCCUAUCCCACGGAAUAGGAGCUAGAGUCAAGAGAACCCCUGCAAGUUGAGCUACUAUAAUGACCACAAAUCCGAAGUUUGUUGUCAUCCCGAUUAAGCCAACAUAGUAGCUAACACCCUCAGUUGGUAAAGAAAUCUGAGUCGUAAGAGUCAAGGAAAUUGACUACGACCAUCCAUUCUCGCUUAAUUUUCCCGAAUUAAGCAUCUCAGCGGAUAUCCUGGAAAUCCAGAAGCUACGUGAUGUGCACAAAAGUACCCACUAAUUUUAAUAUUUAUAACUUAACAAACUUAGAUUAUCUAUGCACAUAUAGGCAGUGUACCUAGUCAGAUUACAGUAUAGCUUAGGUAAGUCGGGUGUCGAUCACAGGGAACGGUGGAUUAAUUUAAUAUAUUUAAUUAUAGGUUACAUGUUACACGAAAAGAAUAAAUAAAUAUCAAACUAACAAUUAAUUAACUACUCNAAAACAUAGACAAUUGCAUACACAAAUUCAUUUAUUCAUGUUCACCGAUUCCUAAAAUGAUUAGAUUCGCGUUCACUAUAACUAAUCCUUUAGCAAACAAGUCAAUUCAAACAGUGAUCAGUUGAUUAAACUAACAUGCUUCCUAGUGUUCAGUUCGUAUCAAGCAAGACUUGUAAAUAUUGUUAAUCGAAUUAUUAAUUCAAUUUAACCUCUUGUUGAUGGUCAUCAAAGAAGGCUCACACAUUAACUUACUUAUUCUCAAGUUAAUCCUAGUUUCACAUUCGUUAUUUCUAGACUUAUAAUCUCGAUGGUCAUCAAAAAUCAUAAGAGACAAGCAAAUCAAGCAGAUGUUCAUGCAACUUAAUUCACUUAACAAUUAACAGAAAAUAAUCAUCAUUAACACAUAAGGAUCUUUUAACAAGCUUGGCAAGAUAAAUUGAACAUAAAUAAACAAUUCAAUAUAGCAAUUAGUCUAAUAAUCAAAGCUUCAUUCAAUCAUAAACACAAAGUAAAAGGUUUUUACACCCAAAUCAGAAACUAUAUAUACAGAAAAGUACCACAAUGGAAUGCUAAACAUGGUCACGUUAGCAAUCCAUAUGAUUACCGACAUGUAUCCGCUAUCCAAUCCUUCCGAUCUCCGCUUCCGUUAGCUUAACGGCCUUUUGGCCACCUCCUUGACUCUCAAAACGGCAACUAUGAAGUUUUCUUGUUGCACAAGUCGAAGUGGAAUAUCAUAGAUUAUGAAACUGGUGGAAUGAUAUGGGGUAUUUAUAGUUGAUGGAGAUGUAAUUAUAUGGAAUAUUAGAGUUGGAUUGGAAUAUGGAAACUAAUGUGGCUUAGGGAUUAAGCAAAUAAAGAUAAGGAAAGUGGUGCUUGGGGAAUAAGUUACUUGGAGGGAAUUUCCUUCCAGCUUUUAUGCUUCAUCUUCAAGGCCGAUUUUGGAUAAUAUAUGUCUCGAAUUAACCAAAAGUCUCUAUCACAUCAGUCGUAGGAAAUUUCGUCUAGUUUUCAGAACAUUUUGAAUCUCGUCAAUUGGACUUGUGAGUCAUCAGAUAUACCCGAAACACUGAAGAGGGGUCAAUCUGCCAGCAAUAUCCUUUUUGCAUCUUUUCAGCUCCAUUAUCUUUCUUUUGCAUUCCAUCUCCCAUUUUAACCAUAAUUAAAUAUUUCAAAGCAUAUUAAGUGUAUUUUAGUUCUAAAUAAUAAUAAUAAAGGCUAUAAUAUUAAGAUAUUUUUCAGACAAAUAUAUAUAAAAACACACAUAUCAAAAUACCCCACACUUAGCCUUUGCUUGCCCCCAAGCAAAUUUACUUUUAAUUUUAUUUUACCAAUAUCGCACUAAACAAUCCAUUUAAAACUCAGCCAUUAUGCCAAGACCUCAACGCAUGCAUUUGUGUCUAAAAUUUUCCUAAAGUACCCCCCAUACUUUAAAUACUCACAAUCUUCAUAAACACUUGCCCACUUUUUCCGAACAAUGCUCAUUUUAUGCAACCCUCCGAAUCCAUCCGCAGAAAACCUCCUAACCUCAAGGUAUUUUUAGUUGAGCAACCUAAGCAUACAUAAUCUAGAAUUACAACUUUUCGAUACCACUAUGGAGCUCUUUUGGAAUUCUUCAAUUCUUUGACAUUUGAUCUUUGAUUUCUUUGAAUUCACCACCUUUGUUGAUUUGAUUUCUGGUAUCUUCAACUUUUUGGAUUUCUUCAGAAUUUUGAUCUUUUGAUCUUCACUUUAUUUGCUCCAAAAUUCUUCNUUUUUUUUACACUCAAUACCUACAUGCUUAAGCAGGGGCGCUUAACUUCAACCAUUAUUGGUUAAAGGUAUUAGUCUAAGUGCAAUGACUACAUAAGCUCUCCUAGAUAGAUUUCAGGUUUAGGCUGCAAAACAUAUUAUGCCAUAUAAACUACUAGAUUACCUUUCAUAUCUCAUGACUUUUCACUAGGAAAUGGGAAGCCACAAAUACACUAUAACAUGUGUAGGCUCAGGUAAACAUUUGGGUUCUCAUUGGAUCAUCACAUACAAUAUUAGCAAAAUUUUAAAUUAUCACUAGAUUUUCUUAAAUUAAACUAUUAUUUCAAGUUUAUAAUUUUUUUUAAAUUUUCCUAAUCUAGUAAUUUUUAAUUUUCUUUUCCGACCCCCUACCCCACACUUAUUUAAUACAAUGCCCUCAUUGUAUGCAUAAAAUUAAUUAAGCUCAUGAAAAUAAUAAAAACGAAGAAAAAAGAAUAGACUCCCCUGGGGUAGUAGUGACGAGAUCGAAUGGGGCUGCUAAAAGCUGCUCUGAAAAUUGCUGGAAGACUGGAAACUGGAACUGCUGCUUCUGAAUGUGCCGGAAAAUACAAAAGAACAUUGACUUCUGAAAUGUGGUGCAAACGAUUGCAAGCUAAAGCAAUAUAUAGUGACCAUGACGUGGGAAAGUGUCAACCACGUCGUGUCGUCGAGUGAGGAAAAAUCCAUAUCGCGAAUAAUAGCAUGGCCACGACGUAGUAAGUGGUGGUCACGUCGUGGUAUGUAGAAUAGCAGCCUCCUCUCGUGAUGAAAAACUCCCCCACGACAUAGGAAAGUGUCAACCAUGUCAUGGCAGCCGGGAUGAUACUUCUACAUUGCAUCAAAAUAAAACUCCAUGGUGUGGGAUCAGCUCAUCCAUGCCAUGGGAAUCAAUGUAUAGUUAGAAACGCCACUCUUCGAAAUAAUAAUCUCUCCAAAUAUCGACGCGCACCCCACACUAAUUGAAAGUCAUGGCUCUCAAGUGUCAACUUCAAACUCUCACACGGUUUUUUCUCUCGUGACAAAUCAACAUUCGACCUUAAUUAUUGAAAUUUCUGAAAGCAUCUGAAGGGUAAAAGUUUUGCAAAGAUCUGAAACAUCAAGAGCAUCAACAUGGAAAACAAAAUUUAAACAAACUAAAAAUAAAAAUAAAAACUCACUAAAAUAACUAAAAAAACAAAAUAACUAAAAAGGAUAUCACAAUCACUCGUCUUCGUCGAAAUCUAGCAACAAUUGUUGAUUAAAUCCCUUGAUGCAAGAGGUGGUUUGUGAAAACAAAAACUUUCGGGACCUGUCAGACUAUUUCCUUUGUUUUCUUUGCACCAUUAACUAAAAAGUAGAACAAGAGUCGACCCAACUAGUCAAGAGUAGCCAGAGUUCGGUCUUCCACUUAACCACCUUGAUACGCCUUGCUAUACUACGCCUCGUGGAUUGAGUUGGACAAAUCACCCAAAGUAGUAGACUAAACAAGUCAAGAAUUCCCUAAUCGCUUGCAAUCUCGAAACCCAUGCAAAAGAUAAAACCAAACAAUGUGUAUGAUCACGAAUUCCUGCACAUAGCAACAAAAACCUUCCCGACAAGUGAAAUGAUAUCAACGAAAAUAAAACUAUAAAAAAAUGAAAAUAAAUAAAAAACUAACUAAAAACAAAUAAUGAAUAAUCAAAUAAACUAAAUNNNNNNNNNNNNNNNNNNNNNNNNNNNNNNNNNNNNNNNNNNNNNNNNNNNNNNNNNNNNNNNNNNNNNNNNNNNNNNNNNNNNNNNNNNNNNNNNNNNNCAGGUUCAUUUGCACAAGAUUGAGAUAGACACUCUGCAACAAACAAAUACCCAUAGAUACGCAAUCCAUCCGAUGAUCUAGAAAAUCUCGGAGACCCAAUCAACAUGAACACGAAUCCAAGGACAACCCGAGCUUUCUAUGAAACAACCUAAAGGACUACACUUCUAGUAUGAGAGAGAACGUUGGAACUUUGGAAUGGCGAUCACGUCAGUGAUGAUCUCGCCAUAGAAGUACACUAUGUUCUAAGUACUGAAAAGCUCUACCCUUCUGAGAGCUUAGAACCAUCCAAUAUUCUUUACGGAGAUUGGUCCAACCAUCGUCAGGCCACUACUACUUUCGGAAAUUCCACAAGUUUUACCACAGAUCAAUCCACUUCUUAGACAUUGAUAAGUGUUUUCCCGACGUCACUCUUUGUAUCCCACUCAACUUUAUAAAAACCAUUGGGAACCCCAACUUCGUAGAUGAACCUGUAGUAAUUGCUAUCGGCACGAGACAGAAUCCGCAUCCCGUAAGUGAAGUUUUCUUAGAACGCCAAGCAAAGGCCAGAGUUCACUUGGGAGUGCAAGGACCAGCCUAAUAGGAAGUACCCUCAUCUUAUUAAUUAAUCAUUCAUACCUACUUCUUUUACGGUCUUCGGAGCCUCCCGAAACCAUAAACCUCUUUGAAGAGGGUUUUAAUGCUCAAAAAACCUUC
rnacentral:lncRNA from 1 species